GCCUUCGUGGUGUAACGGUAGCACACUCGGCGCGUAUGCGAGAGGUCCAGGUUCGAAUCCCGGCGAUGACA
rnacentral:tRNA from 1 species